rfam:Myotis davidii contig145076, whole genome shotgun sequence.
UGGGUGUGGAGAGAGCAGAGCGCCUGAGGAACGGCUUCUCCGUGUACAACACAUCCGACAGCAACUUGGGCUUACUCCUCACGGGGGGUAGAAUACUAUGGCCUUCCUGUGACAUUACGCCCUAAACAU